rnacentral:rRNA from 1 species
ACCUCUGGUGCACCAGUUGUCACGCCAGUGGCACAGCUGGGCAGCUAAGUGCGGAACGGAUAAACGCUGAAAGCAUCUAAGCGUGAAGCCGCCCUUAAGAUAAGAUAUCCCAUCUUUAUGAGUAAGACCCCUUGUAGACUACGAGGUUGAUAGGCCUAAGGUGUAAGCAUGGUGACAUGUUCAGCCUGCAGGUACUAAUCGGUCGAGGGCUUUUCCUU